rnacentral:rRNA from 1 species
GACGAACGUUGGCGGCGUGCUUAAUACAUGCAAGUCCACUGAAGCAGUGGUAGCAAUAUCGCUGUGGAGGUGGCGCACGGGUGAGUAACACGUAGGUAAUCUGCCUUCAGGUCUGGCAUAACUCCGGGAAACCGGGGCUAAUAGCAGAUGAUGCAGCGGCUCGACAUCGAGACAGUUGUUAAAGCUAUGGCGCCUGAAGAUGGGCCUGCGUCUGAUUAGCUAGUUGGCGGGGUAACGGCCCACCAAGGCAACGAUCAGUAGCUGGUCUGAGAGGAUGAUCAGCCACACUGGAACUGAGACACGGUCCAGACUCCUACGGGAGGCAGCAGUAAGGAAUAUUGCUCAAUGGGAGAAAUCCUGAAGCAGCAACGCAGCGUGAGGGACGAAGGGCUUUUGCUUGUAAACCUCUGUAGUGAGAGAAAAAAAUCCCAAUCUUUGGGACAUGAUGGUAUCUCAAAAGUAAGCCCCGGCUAACUACGUG